ACUGAUGCUUAGAUUCUAGAUGCUGUUAAUUUUAAGUUAUCUUCAGUUAUUAAUGCCAUGCAAGAUGUUAAGGUCAAUGAGUUGAUCAACAGUAAUGAGAGAACAUGGAAGUGAGAUUUCAUAAACAAUAAAUUUUCCGCAGAUGAUGCUGGAAAAAUCCUUCGUAUCCCUUUAGCACGCACACCUCACGAAGAUUUCUUGGUCUGGGGAGGUGAGUAUUCAGGUGAGUUUUCGGUUCGCAGUGCCUAUAAACUAUUACAAUAAACUAUUACAAGGUUUGGAGGAAAUUCCUAGAGCUUACACUUUACAAACAGGCUAUAUGAACUUUUACAAAAAACUAUGGCUCCUUAAUCUACCAAGCAAAAUUAAGGUUACAAUAUGGAGAAUCUCAUGGAAUUAUUUGUCGACAAGGGUUAAUAUGCAGUAGCAUUAGCUCGUCAGUAACACAAACUGCCCUCGGUGCGGUGAAAGUGCUGAAACAAUCGACCAUAUUUUUCGCAAAUGUCCUGUCACAGUGGAAGUUUGGUCACUAUUAAAAAUUCAGAAUUUGAUUCUGGUUCCUAACAUGGAUUUUUUAUAGUGGAUUACCUGGAUUUUUGAUCUAUUUUUUAAAGGGCAACAAAUAGCAGACUUCAUCAACAACUAUAUUGUUGAACCUAAUGGGCUUGAAAUAAGAAGGUCAAUUAAGGGAAAGGAAACAAGAAAGUGGAGCUACCCACAUCGCGAAUUCGUUAAAAUAAAUUUUGAUGGUGCGUAUGAUGCGACUCACCAUAAAUCUGCCUCAGGGGUUGUGGUCAGAGACGAGGAAAGGCUUGUCCUUCUUUCCUACUCAGAGAUCAACCACGGGGUAUCUUCCGCAUUUGCAGCCGAAGCAAUAGCGUGUAGAAAAGCGGUCAAAGUAGGAGUGGGACAACAAUGGCCGAAGGUGAUAAUAGAAGGCGACUCCCUCACGAUAAUCAAAAAAUGCACAACCAAAAGUCAAGAUCGUUCACAUAUAGGAGCUUAUAUACACGAUAUACAACAAAACAUUAACAGAUCGAGAAGCUUCUUUUUCAAACGUACAAUAAGAUCUGCAAACAACCUUGCGCAUGUAAUAACAACGGAAACUUUAAGAAGGAAGGAGGAGACGUACCUGGAAAUGGGGGUUCCGGUGUAUGCUGAGAUUCAACAAAGAAUGGAUCAGAGACGAGAGCCAGAUUGAUAACAGAGGGGAAACAGAGAAAUGAAAGGAAAGUAAAGGAAAGUCGGAGAAAUGGUUUUUGAAAGGAUAAACUUUCCUAAAAGCUGAAUCGUUAAAAGAAAAUUGAAAGGUACAUUGAUGAUACGACGGUUUACAGUAUGAUCUGACUGGGCAUUAAUUAGGUACAUCAAUCUAUAAUUUUUGACUGUUUGAUAAAUAUCUAGAUAUUUUCUAAUUAGUUUUUGAGCCUUUUUAGUUUCAGGCCGUGUCUUGUUUAGGUGCUGAUUGGUUUUCUCUUUUGCUUUUGGACUUUUACUAUGUACUUUUAUUUUAUUCAGUAUACAGCCCAGUCUGAAUUCUUUCAAAAAAAUUCAUUAAUAUAAUUCAGAAA
rnacentral:lncRNA from 1 species